CCCGCCACCCCCAGGCUGUGGGGGUGCGUUAGCAGGUCCGCCCUCGGCGGGGGGCGGCGCGCGCCCUCUACCGCCCCUCGGAAGCGCCGGAGGGAGGCUUGGCUUAAAGGUCACCUUCUCAACGAGGCCUCAUUGUGACUUCUCUAUUUAAUUCUGGCAGGGCCGGGACUAGGAAGAGGCAGAGACAUAGGCAGGCCCUACAAGGAACCUAAUGUGGGACUCGAUCCCAGCACCCUGGGAUCAUGCCCUGAGCUGAAGGCAGACGCUCAACUGCUGAGGCCCCCAGGCGCCCCGAAGAUGCCGUUUCCUGAUGGAUUGCUGAGGAAACCGAGACCCAGAAGCACAGAGGAUUUGAGCCCCGGGCCCAGGAGCACACGGCGGGUGCAGAGAAGAGCCAGGAUUUGGGCCCCAGCCACCCCGCCUGCACCACCAUUUGCACGAGUGGCUGCGUGAAGAAUCGUGUCCCCCGCCAUCGGCUUCCGUGGAAGCCCUGACCCCCAGCGGGGUCCGUAUUUGGAGGUUGGACCUUAGGUGCUGCGGGUUAGGUGAGGGCAUGAGGCUGGGCCCCCGUCCCCGGAGGGGGGAUUAGUGCCCUGGGAAGGGGAUGAGGGACCCCUGCAUGUGAGCCCCCAGUGAGAAGGCGACUGGCGUCACCCAGACCGAGAGCCCGCACCGGGCGCCCAAGCAAAGUCAGACGGCAGGUCAUCGAAUGUCCUCCCCAGAAUAGCCCCAGGAAGAUGCGGUUGCAGUAGAGGAGACCCAGAGGCUCAGAGAGGGCAGGACGCCUCUGUGAGGUCACACAGCAAGGAACCGACGGAGGGGAGGUUCCCACUCCAGUCUGCCCCGUGCCCUUCUCAGCCCCAUCGCCCCCGCCUCGCCCCAGCCCGCCCUGACCUUCCCCAGGACCCAGCAGACCGCUCUAGCGAGGCAGCUUGGCAUCACAGUUAAUAGACUGAUGUGGGUUGAAAUCCUCACUCUGGCAUUGUUUUUUCUUCCUUUUCUAUUUUUAAAAAAUAUUUUAUUGGGAUCCCUGGGUGGCGCAGCAGUUUAGCGCCUGCCUUUGGCCCAGGGCGCGAUCCUGGAGACCCGGGAUCGAA